rnacentral:tRNA from 1 species
GCCCGCUUAGCUCAGUGGUAGAGCGCUCGCUUCACACGCGAUAGGUCAGCAGUUCAAGUCUGUUAGCGGGCA